rnacentral:lncRNA from 1 species
CAGUUAGGGUUGAAUGAAAAAGACACUUCAAGAUAAUGAAAUUAUUGUAGUUGAGUAGUUAAGUAAAUAAAGACUAAUUAAUCUGCUAUAGUUUGAUGAUAUACCAAUAAAUCAAAGGAAGAUGGCCAAAGUAGUGCAAACUAAACCUCCCUCUGCCAAAAUACAACUCAAGAUAUACUAAUAAUAACUUUUUCACAUAAUAAUAUUAGAGAGAAAAAGAACAGUCCAGAAUCAGAAUCUCCUUAGGAAUGUCCCAUAAUUUAAUAUACUAUAUAAUAUAACUAUAUAAUAGACAUUACAAAAACCAUAUAUAUAAUAAAAAGCAAGUUCCAACUCAGAUCAACCCAUAUAGAAGUAGUAUUAUAUUUUUAUUUAUCUAAUAAAAGGGUAUUGGAGAUGAUCACAAGUACACUCAAUAUAUAGGGGCUUCCUUCCCUCAACAAUAAGCAGUGCAUUUCUUUUUGCAAUCAAUAGUGCAACCACCACCUCCACCGCCACCACCAUAGCCCUUGCCGGAGCGGCUGUAGGAAGUAAA